UACAGAGGGGGCAAGCGUUGUUCGGAAUUAUUGGGCGUAAAGAGCUCGUAGGCGGUUUGUCGCGUCUGCUGUGAAAGCCCGGGGCUCAACCCCGGGUCUGCAGUGGGUACGGGCAGACUAGAGUGCAGUAGGGGAGACUGGAAUUCCUGGUGUAGCGGUGAAAUGCGCAGAUAUCAGGAGGAACACCGAUGGCGAAGGCAGGUCUCUGGGCUGUAACUGACGCUGAGGAGCGAAAGCAUGGGGAGCGAACAGG
rnacentral:rRNA from 1 species